UACGUAGGGUGCGAGCGUUGUCCGGAAUUAUUGGGCGUAAAGAGCUUGUAGGCGGUCUGUCGCGUCUGCUGUGAAAAUCCGGGGCUCAACCCCGGACUUGCAGUGGGUACGGGCAGACUAGAGUGUGGUAGGGGAGACUGGAAUUCCUGGUGUAGCGGUGAAAUGCGCAGAUAUCAGGAGGAACACCGAUGGCGAAGGUAGGUCUCUGGGCCACUACUGACGCUGAGAAGCGAAAGCAUGGGGAGCGAACAGG
rnacentral:rRNA from 1 species